GAUGAACGCUGGCGGCGUGCCUAAUACAUCCAAGUCGAGCGAACAGAUGAGGAGCUUGCUCCUCUGACGUUAGCGGCGGACGGGUGAGUAACACGUGGAUAACCUACCUAUAAGACUGGGAUAACUUCGGGAAACCGGAGCUAAUACCGGAUAAUAUAUUGAACCGCAUGGUUCAAUAGUGAAAGACGGUUUUGCUGUCACUUAUAGAUGGAUCCGCGCCGCAUUAGCUAGUUGGUAAGGUAACGGCUUACCAAGGCGACGAUGCGUAGCCGACCUGAGAGGGUGAUCGGCCACACUGGAACUGAGACACGGUCCAGACUCCUACGGGAGGCAGCAGUAGGGAAUCUUCCGCAAUGGGCGAAAGCCUGACGGAGCAACGCCGCGUGAGUGAUGAAGGUCUUCGGAUCGUAAAACUCUGUUAUUAGGGAAGAACAAAUGUGUAAGUAACUAUGCACGUCUUGACGGUACCUAAUCAGAAAGCCACGGCUAACUACGUG
rnacentral:rRNA from 1 species